UGAAAGUGGUACGUGAGCUGGGUUUAGACCGUCGUGAGACAGGUCGGUCCCUAUCUGCUGUGGGCGGAGGAUACUUGCGGGGCUUUCUCCCUAGUACGAGAGGACUGGGAGAGACACACCUCUGAUGUUCCAGUUGUGGCGCUAGCCGCACCGCUGGGUAGUCACGUGUGGAUGGGAUAAACGCUGAAGGCAUAUAAGCGUGAAACUUCCCCCUAGAUCAGGUAUCCCGCGAAAGCGAAGGCUCCUCGUAGACUACGAGGUCGAUAGGCCGGACGUGUAAGUGCAGCAAUGCACUCAGCUAACCGGUACUAACAGCCGAACGCUUGGCCAC
rnacentral:rRNA from 1 species